rnacentral:rRNA from 1 species
UACGUAGGGGGCAAGCGUUGUUCGGAAUUACUGGGCGUAAAGGGCGCGUAGGCGGCACGGCAAGUCAGGAGUGAAAGCCCUGGGCUCAACCCGGGAACUGCUUUUGAAACUGCCGAGCUAGAGUGCGGAAGGGGCAACUGGAAUUCCCAGUGUAGCGGUGAAAUGCGCAGAUAUCAGGAGGAACACCGGUGGCGAAGGCGGGUCUCUGGGCCGAUACUGACGCUGAGGAGCGAAAGCGUGGGGAGCGAACAGG